rnacentral:lncRNA from 1 species
CUUCAUAUAGGAGACUUUGACAUAUUAGUCCAUUCUGGCCACUUGACUUUCCCAGAAGCAGCAUUACCACCUGUCGAAGACUGUGCCAGACUGUCCCAGAGUCCCAGACAUUCUUGGGGUUACAGGUAUCUCCUGUACAGAGCACUCAGGAUAUAGAGAACAAUAACACCUUUGAGUAAGUAUCAUGGAAAUCCUGUUUUUACCAGUAUAAUGGGGAGAUUAACCAAU